AACGAACGCUGGCGGCAUGCCUAACACAUGCAAGUCGAACGAAGUCUUCGGACUUAGUGGCGCACGGGUGCGUAACGCGUGGGAAUCUGCCCUUGGGUGCGGAAUAACUUCUCGAAAGGGAUGCUAAUACCGCAUAAUGUCGUAAGACCAAAGAUUUAUCGCCCAAGGAUGAGCCCGCGUAAGAUUAGCUAGUUGGUGGGGUAAAAGCCUACCAAGGCGACGAUCUUUAGCUGGUCUGAGAGGAUGAUCAGCCACACUGGGACUGAGACACGGCCCAGACUCCUACGGGAGGCAGCAGUGGGGAAUAUUGGACAAAUGGGCGAAAGGACCUGAUCCAGCAAUGCCGCGUGAGUGAU
rnacentral:rRNA from 1 species